GGCUUCCGGACCCACACAGACCCCUUAUUCCCGCCCGCAGCCACCUUGUCAUGCUGCCCAAAGUGGAAACGGAAGCCCUGGGACUGGCUCGAUCGCAUGGGGAACAGGGCCAGAUGCCGGAAAACAUGCAAGUGUCUCAAUUUAAAAUGGUGAAUUACUCCUAUGAUGAAGAUCUUGAAGAGCUUUGUCCUGUGUGUGGAGAUAAAGUGUCUAGGCACCAUUAUGGGCUCCUCACCUGUGAGAGCUGCAAGGGAUUUUUUAAGCGAACAGUCCAAAAUAAUAAAAGGUACACAUGUAUAGAAAACCAGAACUGCCAAAUUGACAAAACCCAGAGAAAACGUUGUCCUUACUGUCGAUUUCAGAAACGUCUAAGUGUUGGAAUGAAGCUAGAAGCGGUAAGGGCUGACUGAAUGCGUGGAGGAAGAAAUAAGUUUGGGCCCAUGUACAAGAGAGACAGAGCCCUGAAGCAACAGAAAAAAGCCCUCAUCCGAGUCAAUGGACUUAAGCUAGAAGCCAUGUCUCAGGUGAUCCAAGCUAUGCCCUCCGACCUGACCAUCUCCUCGGCAAUUCAGAACAUCCAUUCUGCCUCCAAAGGCCUACCUCUGAACCAUGCUGCCUUGCCUCUUACAGACUAUGACAGAAGUCCCUUUGUAACAUCCCCUAUUAGCAUGACAAUGCCCCCUCAUGGCAGCCUGCAAGGUUACCAAACAUAUGGCCACUUUCCUAGCUGGGCCAUCAAGUCUGAGUACCCAGACCCCUACACCAGCUCGCCUGAGUCAAUAAUGGGCUAUUCCUAUAUGGAUAGUUACCAGACAAGCUCUCCAGCAAGCAUCCCACAUCUGAUCCUGGAACUUUUGAAGUGUGAGCCAGAUGAGCCUCAAGUCCAGGCCAAAAUCAUGGCCUAUUUGCAGCAAGAGCAGGCGAAUCGAAGCAAGCACGAAAAGCUGAGCACAUUUGGGCUUAUGUGCAAAAUGGCAGAUCAGACCCUCUUCUCCAUUGUUGAGUGGGCCAGGAGUAGUAUCUUCUUCAGAGAACUUAAGGUUGAUGACCAAAUGAAGCUGCUUCAGAACUGCUGGAGUGAGCUCCUAAUCCUCGACCACAUUUACUGACAAGUGGUACACGGAAAGGAAGGAUCAAUCUUCCUGGUUACUGGGCAACAAGUGGACUACUCUAUCAUAGCAUCACAAGCUGGGGCCACCCUCAACAACCUCAUGAGUCACGCACAGGAGUUAGUGGCAAAACUUCGUUCUCUCCAGUUUGAUCAACGAGAGUUUGUGUGUUUGAAAUUCUUGGUGCUUUUUAGUUUAGAUGUCAAAAACCUUGAGAACUUCCAGCUGGUAGAAGGUGUCCAGGAGCAAGUCAACACCGCACUGUUGGACUACACAAUGUGCAACUACCCACAGCAAACAGAGAAAUUUGGGCAGCUACUUCUUCGAUUACCCGAAAUCCGGGCCAUCAGCAUGCAGGCUGAAGAAUACCUCUACUACAAGCACCUGAAUGGGGAUGUGCCCUAUAAUAACCUUCUCAUUGAAAUGUUGCAUGCAAAAAGAGCCUAAGUUACAAACCCCAGGCACUCUGCUUUCAAAACAUAAAGAGACUUGAUGGGGGGGUGGGGGGGAGAACAACAGG